CCUACGGGUGGCAGCAGUGGGGAAUAUUGCACAAUGGGCGCAAGCCUGAUGCAGCCAUGCCGCGUGUGUGAAGAAGGCCUUCGGGUUGUAAAGCACUUUCAGCGGGGAGGAAGGCGGUGAGGUUAAUAACCUCAUCGAUUGACGUUACCCGCAGAAGAAGCACCGGCUAACUCCGUGCCAGCAGCCGCGGUAAUACGGAGGGUGCAAGCGUUAAUCGGAAUUACUGGGCGUAAAGCGCACGCAGGCGGUCUGUCAAGUCGGAUGUGAAAUCCCCGGGCUCAACCGGGGAACUGCAUUCGAAACUGGCAGGCUAGAGUCUUGUAGAGGGGGGUAGAAUUCCAGGUGUAGCGGGGAAAUGCGUAGAGAUCUGGAGGAAUACCGGUGGCGAAGGCGGCCCCCUGGACAAAGACUGACGCUCAGGUGCGAAAGCGUGGGGAGCAAACAGGAUUAAUACCCGGGUAGUC
rnacentral:rRNA from 1 species